rnacentral:sRNA from 1 species
UUUUUUUGUUGUUUUU